ACAUUUGCCAGCUGCUACCAUCUGCCUGUGACUUGACUCUACCAACGUUACCGACCGGGAAAGGGAAAAGUUCGUGGUUGGCGUUCGACAAGAUGGCGGCCACAGUUGGACGGGGGGUAAAAUUAAGUCUUCCAGGGAAAAAACGUUGAUGAGCGACUUCAUAACAUUUUCAUUAAUUAAUUACUGCAUUUCCUAUUAAUCUACGAUUUUUUCUAGCGUCUAAAACCCAACAUCUUGGGGAGUGGAGAGGCCGGCUGUUUAACAAAGAGGAUUAGUCUAUCCUCUUUGUUAAAUCUCCUCUUAAUUCCCAUUGUCCUCACCAGACGGCCUCUCCACUCCCAAGAAAAUCCUCCAUUUUCCUCUCUACAUGGCUUCCCGCCAUUUUACAUCUUUCAUGACCCAAAAAUUCGGUAAACGUGAGUCGUUUGAACCCCACUUCGUCUCGAAACGUGAUGACGUUCAGUAGUGGUGUUUGAACAGAAGGAAUGAGUUCAACAAAAAUCAGGACGAGAAGUGAGCGGGCGCGCCUAGACUUCCCAGUGGGACGGAUCCACCGUCAUCUACGGGAAGGAAACUACGCUCAGCGGAUUAGCUCGGAGGCACCAGUGUACAUGGCAGCGGUGUUGGAGUAUGUAGCUGCAGAAGUCCUGGAGUUGGCCGGAUUCGCUGCCAAGGAAAAUAGGAAGAAGACGUAAACCGCCUAAUCAUCCCCCGGCACAUCCAACUCGCAAUCCGAAAGGAUGACGAGUUAAAUAAACUUUUGCGGGAUGUGAUUAUUCCCCAAGGUGGGGUGGUGCCCACUGUUCCGGCUCCCCUCCCGCCGAAGAACACCCGGGCUCGUGCUGCGAAAACCAGCAGACGCGAGCCAUCUCCGGAAUUUUAAAAAAACAUUCCAGGACAACAAUUAAAUUAAAGUAUUAAUGUUAUUUAACGACCGACUAAUUAAUUUAUGUGGUGCAAGUCAUAAUUUAUUUGAUUUAUGUUGUAUUUAAUAAAAUUUGUAAUUUAACGGUAAUAUUUGACAUUAUCCGGUCGUCGCACCUCGUUAGUUAUGUUAUAGUGUGAUAAACUUGUUAAUAAAUAUCAUAAAUAAAUAUAUUUUCUGAUAAUUGUUU